rnacentral:lncRNA from 1 species
AAAAUAACUUCUCUGCAAGAUUUCAUAAUUGAGAGAAUUCCUGAGUUGAUAGCUCUAAAGGCAGAUGCUGUAUUUGCCUCCUUUAACCCAUUUUUCAACCUGUUUGUUUUUUUUAAGGCUUCACUAAGGGUUGAUAUGUACCAUUGUAUGGGGCAGUUUUAAGUCAGCUAAGGCAAUAACCUUGUGCAUGAACAUUUCCCAGAUUUCCAUGAUGCUGUUGAGGUCCUAGGCAAUUGACACAGCAGUUGUGAUAAAUAAAAAUCUCACCUAAGUCUCCUUUACUCAUAACGUAGAUACUGACAUGAUAGGAAGCUCUCUUGUUUAGGGAAAGUAACUAAAUUUUAGAUUUUAGAACAUGGACUCAAAAGUGG